rnacentral:rRNA from 1 species
GAUGAACGCUGGCGGCGUGCCUAAUACAUGCAAGUCGAGCGAACGGACGAGAAGCUUGCUUCUCUGAUGUUAGCGGCGGACGGGUGAGUACACGUGGAUAACCUACCUAUAAGACUGGGAUAACUUCGGGAAACCGGAGCUAAUACCGGAUGAUAUUUUGAACCGCAUGGUUCAAAAGUGAAAGACGGUCUUGCUGUCACUUAUAGAUGGAUCCGCGCUGCAUUAGCUAGUUGGUAAGGUAACGGCUUACCAAGGCAACGAUGCAUAGCCGACCUGAGAGGGUGAUCGGCCACACUGGAACUGAGACACGGUCCAGACUCCUACGGGAGGCAGCAGUAGGGAAUCUUCCGCAAUGGGCGAAAGCCUGACGGAGCAACGCCGCGUGAGUGAUGAAGGUCUUCGGAUCGUAAAACUCUGUUAUUAGGGAAGAACAUAUGUGUAAGUAACUGUGCACAUCUUGACGGUACCUAACCAGAAAGCCACGGCUAACUACGUG